rnacentral:rRNA from 1 species
AUUGAACGCUGGCGGCAGGCUUAACACAUGCAAGUCGAGCGGGGUGAGGUGCUUCGGUACUGAUCCUAGCGGCGGACGGGUGAGUAAUGCUUAGGAAUCUGCCAUUUAGUGGGGGACAACAUUCCGAAAGGAAUGCUAAUACCGCAUACGUCCUACGGGAGAAAGCAGGGGAUCUUCGGACCUUGCGCUAAAUGAUGAGCCUAAGUCGGAUUAGCUAGUUGGUGGGGUAAAGGCCUACCAAGGCGACGAUCUGUAGCGGGUCUGAGAGGAUGAUCCGCCACAGUGGGACUGGGACACGGCCCAGACUCCUACGGGAGGCAGCAGUGGGGAAUAUGGGACAAUGGGCGGAAGCCUGAUCCAGCCAUGCCGGGUGUGUGAAGAAGGCCUUUUGGUCGUAAAGCACUUUAAGCGAGGAGGAGGCUACCUGGAUUAAUACUCUGGGAUAGUGGACGUUACUCGCAGAAUAAGCACCGGCUAACUCUGUGCCAGCCGCCGCUGUAAAAC